CCAGGACAGCUUCGAGAAGCGUGUGCUGGAGUCUGUGACUGACGCAGGAGGGGUGGCCGCUCAGCAUCGGAGACAUCUGGGGUAGUCCCGCAGCUUUCAGAGAUGUGGGGAGAUGGCGGAGAGGCAGGACUGCUUCUUCCACAAUAUUCCUGAUCUCCUAUGUGCCUUACUCUCUUGUGGCAUCAGACACAAUGGAAGAAACAUCUGUCUGAGUCUGAAUAACAGAAGCAAGGAAUUAAAAGUAAGAAUGAAGUAAAGAAAAGAAAGCAACUGGAGGAGCUACCAGGAGAUAUGAUCAUGCUGCCUGGGGAAUGCAAAGAAGAGAUACUAGCAGGGAGCCUCUUUUCCCCCUUGGCCUGGCUCUGGAAGUGCCUGAGAAGCUGCUGAAUUCUAUUAGCAUGGACAAUGCCCUAAAGCAGCUCUCAACUGACCAACAAAGAAGUGGCAGUUCCAAGGUGAAUGGACAACAUCCAAUAUAGAAGGCUACCACUCUGAGUGAAGAAGGUAAAAACAAAUCAGCUUGGUGGGCUUAACUGCAUGCUGCUUUCCCCGCAGUGAUAGAAGAAUCGAAGAGUUGUAAAAUCUCCUCUGUAUGGGUUUUUACCAGGAGGUGCUCAAUGGCCUAGUCAUAUGGACAGGCAGGAGGAUAAUGGAAAGAGGAGCACAGCCCUAUGCAAAUCACUGGGAAUUUGAGGAGUACAUUCAAGUAGGACAAGUUGAUGCCCAUCAGAAGAAUCUUCUUCCAGAUUCAGAAGGUGAUUGGAAUUAACAAGCAUAUAUCCCUGUGUGCUUACCUAAGGUGGCCACCUGGAUCCAUGAAAUGAGUGAAGCUGGUGAUACUGCAGCAAUUCAGAGAUGGGCUGAAUCUAAACAUAUCCCUCUUGCACCCUCUGAGACCAAAAAUGCCAAUAAUAACUGUUCUGUCUACCAAGAGAGACAGAGACUGUCAAUGUUCUGUGGCAGAUCCGCUGGUAGAAAAAGGCCUUGAUCACAGAUGGCAAGUGAGAUGGAUACUGGUGUCACUGGGGAAUACAAAAGAGUCCUGAUAGGAUUAGACACCUACUCUGCAUUGGGCUUUCCUUCCUUCAUGUAGAUAUAAAUGCUGAGUAUUAUGAAAGAUCCAGAACAGAAGAUACUGUACCAGUUUGGAUGGUGGACCAUCAUUUUUGCAGACCAGGGAACACAUUUACAACCCAUAAUGGCCAGCAGUGGACAGAGAUAUCAUCCUCAAAGUAAUAGUUUUAAAAGAUUUGGAAUGGCCAAUUAAAACAUUGGCUGUCUAAAACAGGGAGAUAAAAUCAUGAAGGGCUGGCACACAUAUCUUCAUGAGUGUGUGCUCACACUGCACAUCAACAUGAUUGGGGCUAAAGGAGUGUCCCCACUGGAUAAAUUUCCUCUGUGUUUCUCGUGGAUCUGAAGAAGAGGAGGUGAGCGAGGAAGCUGGUGUUUUUUCUUUCCACAUCACUGCAGCUUCUCCCCACGGCCCCUCACCCCCCGCCCACUUGAUGCAGUGGUUGUGGGACCAGGACCACUACUACAAGGGCUGGGAGCAGGGGUGAUUCCUAACCAAGAAACUGUAACUAUUUUCAACCUUUUUGUCAGAAUUUCUAAGGGCCUGAUGGGGCAGGAUGUACCUUCACUGUAUCUGGCAAAAUUGGGGUUAACCGUGAAGAGAACGCACUAGUUGUGCACCUGAGCAGCCUCUCCCUAUCUGAAUAGAAGUGAACUGGAGAGGCACCGGGAUGGCUCGUUCACUUAAGUGUCAGACUCUUGAUUUCAGCUCAGGUUAUGAUCUCACGGUUU